AGUUUCCUCCGGAAUUCAUUCCAGUCACCGUCCUUGAUAUGGAUUGGAUGUCGCUAUAAAGAAACCAAGAAGGUGGCAUUAGUCUCCUAGAAAUCAAGAAGAAAAUCACAGAGACCCCAGCAUGGAAAUGGGUGCAGCAUGUGAGCUGUGAGUGCCCCAAACACAGAUGGCCCAGGAACUCAGCAAAGGCUUCCACUUCUUGUUUGACCCAAGAAAUGUCAUGCAAAGGAACUCCUGCAAACCUUGCCCAUCUCCACACCUACACCCCAGGGAAGCUGCCACCUGGGCUGGGAUGCCCACUGCCCCAGGCUGAGCAAGGGCACUUCUUUGGGGAGCUAAAAUCCUUCAGCCCCUGGACCAUCACCCUCUUUUCUCAGAGAAAGCCCUCCUCCCAGGCCUGCUCUUUCAUCAGUACUCAGCUCAAGAAGAUGCCAGAGGUCUUCUCCUUUGCAGAGCCUGGAUCCACUUUCUCAAAUCCCCAGGCACCCAGAGGCAAGUAGGGCAGAGACAUCUUUGCUGAAGGCCCUGUGAAGCCCAAGAGCACAAGAGAUUUGCCCUGGCCUGAGGGGGCUCCCAGUACAAAGGACUUUUAGCUUUAAAAAACCAGGAUGGGUCCAGGCAAACCUCACUGUAGUGAGGAUCUCUAUGCUGUCCCUGAUUGGUGAGUCUCUCGUCUAUACAUAGAACCUUACAUUUGGCUUCAUUUGUAGGAGUUUAGUUUGAAACAUUUACUUUACUAUUGAGCACUAACGUUUUCCAAGCAUUUUCUUGCAUACUGGAUCUCGCAGGUUUGCGAUGGACUUUUUCAACUCUGAAAACUUUCUGAUUUAUCCACUGAGUCACAUUCUUGUCACUCUACUGAACAUGUACAGUAUUCCAUGAGGCUGGGAUGAGGUUUUAGCUGCUAUUGAAAAGCCCAUGGCCUGGAAUGACCACACUUCAUUUCUGCAGAGAUGCCUGUGCCAACAGGGCCAAGAGGUCACUGACAGCAGGUAGGAGAUGGAUUUGGAGUUCCUGGGUCUCUCUCUGGUCUUGGUAAUUGUAACUGUACUGGCCUCUCCAACGGUUGUUUUCUUAACUGAAAUUGCCGUAGUUUUUCACUUUGAAACAUCUAGGCUGUAUUCACACACCAAUGUUUAUAGUGGCUGUCUUAUCCCGUUAGGGCUGCUAUAAUAAAAUACCAUACUGAGUGGCUAUUCAGAACAGA
rnacentral:lncRNA from 1 species